UACGAAGGGGGCUAGCGUUGUUCGGAAUUACUGGGCGUAAAGCGCGCGCAGGCGGCUAUCCAAGUCAGUGGUGAAAGCCCGGAGCUCAACUCCGGAACUGCCAUUGAAACUGUUUAGCUUGAGGACGGGAGAGGAGAGUGGAAUUCCCAGUGUAGAGGUGAAAUUCGUAGAUAUUGGGAAGAACACCGGUGGCGAAGGCGGCUCUCUGGACCGAGACUGACGCUGAGGCGCGAAAGCGUGGGGAGCAAACAGG
rnacentral:rRNA from 1 species